GACGAACGCUGGCGGCGUGCUUAACACAUGCAAGUCGAACGAUGAAGCAAAGAAUUGAAGCUUCGGCAGAAAUUCAUUUCGGAUUAGUGGCAGACGGGUGAGUAACGCGUGAGCAACCUACCUCUUACAAAGGGAUAGCCUCGGGAAACCGGGAUUAAUACCAUAUAACAUUGCGACGAAGCAUUUCGAUGCAAUCAAAGCUACGGCGGUAAGAGAUGGGCUCGCGUCCCAUUAACCAGAUGGUGAGGUAACGGCUCACCAUAGUAACGAUGGGUAACCGGGCUGAGAGAGAGAACGGUCACACUGGAACUGAGCCACGGUCCAGACUCUUACGGGAGGCAGCAGUGGGGAAUAUUGCACAAUGGAGGGAACUCUGAAGCAGCGACGCCGCGUGAGUGAUGAAGGAAUGCGUUUCGUAAAACUCUGUUCUAUGGGAAGAAAAGGACUGUACCAUAGGAGAAAGCUCCGGCUAAAUACGUG
rnacentral:rRNA from 1 species